UACGGAGGAUUCGAGCGUUAUCCGGAUUUAUUGGGUUUAAAGGGAGCGUAGGCGGGUUGUUAAGUCAGUUGUGAAAGUUUGCGGCUCAACCGCAAAAUUGCAGUUGAUACUGGCAUCCUUGAGUACAGUAGAGGUAGGCGGAAUUCGUGGUGUAGCGGUGAAAUGCUUAGAUAUCACGAAGAACUCCGAUUGCGAAGGCAGCCUGCUGGACUGUAACUGACGCUGAUGCUCGAAAGUGUGGGUAUCAAACAGG
rnacentral:rRNA from 1 species